GAACGCAUAUUGCGCCCGCCAGCACUCUGGCAGGCAUGCCUGUUCGAGCGUCAUUUCAACACUCAGGUCUUAGUCGCCUGGCGUUGGGGCGCUGCGGCACGGCCCGCAGGCCCCCAAAUAUAGCGGCGGACCCGCCGCGGCCCUGAGCGCAGUAGUUGACAAAGCCUCGCUCCGGCGGCCGCGGCGCGGCCCUGCCCCCGCCCAACAGCGCGAAACGCGCGAGCAAAGUUGACCUCGGAUCAGGUAGGACUACCCGCUGAACUUA
rnacentral:misc_RNA from 1 species